rnacentral:lncRNA from 10 species
UUACUUCUGUAACAUAGCUACUGGAAAACUGAGAAUUUGAAGUGUGUCUCACACUGCAUUUCUAUUGGGUGGCGCUGUUACAAACUACAGGAAGGAGCUAGAAUUCUGUGGAAGGUUUUAGGCAGGGGCUGACAUCCUCUGGCCAAAAUGACAAGAGGGAAUUCCAGAGACCAGGGCAAGUCUGGCCACAGGGAGACUGCAUGGCCUAGGAGACCUGAGCCACAGCCGCCAAGAGAAGCCCUGAUUCCCCAGAGAGGAGGUGCCCGCUGCCAGUCCACAGAUGUGAGCCUGGCGGGCUGCCCGCUAACCUGUCGCUGAAGCCCCAGAAGCGGGCCCUCAGGCCAGGCCUACCCUGCCUCCGGCCCAGCAUGCGCCUGUCGGUGCGGAGGGUGCUGCUGGCAGCCGGCUGCGCCCUGGUCCUGGUGCUGGCGGUUCAGCUGGGACAGCAGGUGCUAGAGUGCCGGGCGGUGCUGGCGGGCCUGCGGAGCCCCCGGGGGGCCAUGCGGCCUGAGCA